UCGGGAAUAUUGCGGCAAUGGAGGAAACUCUGACGCAGUGACGCCGCGUAUAGGAAGAAGGUUUUCGGAUUGUAAACUAUUGUCGUUAGGGAAGAUACAAGACAGUACCUAAGGAGGAAGCCCCGGCUAACUAUGUGCCAGCAGCCGCGGUAAUACAUAGGGGGCAAGCGUUAUCCGGAAUUAUUGGGUGUAAAGGGUGCGUAGACGGAGGAGCAAGUUGGUUGUGAAAUCCCUCGGCUUAACUGAGGAACUGCAACCAAAACUACUUCCCUUGAGUGUCGGAGAGGAAAGUGGAAUUCCUAGUGUAGCGGUGAAAUGCGUAGAUAUUAGGAGGAACACCAGUGGCGAAGGCGACUUUCUGGACGAUAACUGACGUUGAGGCACGAAAGUGUGGGGAGCAAACAGGAUUAGAUACCCUGGUAGU
rnacentral:rRNA from 1 species